UACGUAGGGUGCAAGCGUUGUCCGGAAUUAUUGGGCGUAAAGAGCUCGUAGGCGGCUCGGUAAGUCGGGUGUGAAACCUCCAGGCUCAACCUGGAGACGCCACCUGAUACUGCUGUGGCUAGAGUCCGGUAGGGGAGUGUGGAACUCCUGGUGUAGCGGUGAAAUGCGCAGAUAUCAGGAAGAACACCAGCGGCGAAGGCGGCACUCUGGGCCGGAACUGACGCUGAGGAGCGAAAGCGUGGGUAGCAAACAGG
rnacentral:rRNA from 1 species